GGUUCUACAAGGGUUAAUUUGUUGGAACUACCUUGGGGAUAGAAAUAUUUGGAAGCUCUGGAAUUCCUGCAUCUCCAAGUCCUCCCUCAAUGAAAUUGAAGAAGCACCUUUCUACCCCGUUAGAAACAAGGCUACAGAAAAGCUGUCCACUAGAUGUCACUGGUACUUCACUGAAAUAAGACUGAAAGCGCCGUGUCUGGUAGUCUUAGAGGUGAUGCACAGACUUUUCAGUGCUCUGUGCAAGAUGAAAGCAAGCAAGUGGAUAAUCUUUUCUGGAGAUGAUUCCAUAUUUUUACUCCAUUAGGAAUAAUUUCCUGAGGUGUGGUGGCCAGCUGUGCACACAGUGUAAACAAUAGAGGAUGCAAGUACUUGGUUUUGGCUCUGAAACCAGUGAAGCUAGGCAUGCUUAACUCCAGGCAUAUGACUACUCCAGUUAACAUUUGUAACACUUUCCACAAGCUUAAAGAUUUUCCCUGGUGUGUGAACUCAGUGAACUCACGUCCUAUUGCAUUUUAAUUUCAUCAUGCGGACUCUCUGACUUCAAAGCCUGCUCCAGGUCUAGAGAGAAGUUCACGAUCCACUCCAUUUUGCUACAGCAACAUGUACAGUUUGUUGUGUGCAGCCACAAAAUAGAGAGAACUCUUGAAAAAGAUCAAGAAAGAAUUUAAAAAGUUACUAUACAUUUUGAAGGAUAUACUGCAUUUGUAUCUGGAUAAUGAAUACACUUAGCUAGGUCUUACUGUUAAGGUAAGGAAUACUAAUUUUUAAGGAAAAAAAAAUUGCGACCUGUCAAAAUUCACUCCAAGUCUGAGGGAUAGAUCACAUUUCAUAUAACUGUUAGGUCGGUCUGUCAGUCAGUUUGGAUGGAAAUCUAAUAAGCGCAGUACUAUCUCAUCACUUCGGAAUCAAGCUCAAGCAGUUUGUGUGGCCAUCCUUGGAGAUAAAACUCACUGAUGUGUGAAUUCAAUUAUUUCACAGAUGUAAAACUUCCCAAAUCACUCCCAAGUUCCUGUGGUGUAGGUGUACCCAUAUAUCCUCUGUUGCUUCAGAGAGUGUUGACUGUACUUUUACUGUGGAAAAUGAGAAGAAAGAAAUAAGAUUUGUUUCACUGGAAGAAGAUACAUAGGAUGGAUCUGGUGACAAUUCAAGAGAGUAGAUUUCUAAUUCCCUUGCCAUGGGCUUAUUGAAAGUAUCCACAUAGCUUGUGAAACUGUAUGAUCACUAUCACAGUUCUGUAUAGGAAUGGCAAUGGAGAAUUCAACAAAGAAUACUAAGGAGGGAGCUUUGGUUUUUGGCCUGAACAUCCCUAAGGAAUGAUAAGAAACUCUGGUUACUGUGAUCUUCACUAGAAACUGGAUGGGUCAAAGUAUACAGACAGAUUUAGACAACAUGCAAUUGCAAAAAUCAUUCUUAUAUGCAUUUGCACUUACAGCAUUUACUGUGCAGUAGCAAUGAUUUGGCCAUUAGCGGGACAACAAAUACAAGGGGGAAACAGUGGCCAAUACUGAGCAUACCUGAACUCUGUUUCUGGAUGUGCGUGUCCAGAUCACUCCUUAGACCCGUUUCCACGAGAAUCUGCAAAGGUAAACUACUGAUCCAGUGCUGAAAUUGCCAAUAGAACUGCUGGGCAUUCAAAAGUUUGGCAGAACAGGGUAUUUAGAAACAUAAAAAUAGGAGUAGUGCAUAAACGCAGGAGCUUACUUCAGAAGUCUUUACUUGAGCAAAGAAAAUAUCAGUUCCUUGUGAGUUUUGCAUGUUGUGAAGGCUUGCUGAUAGGCCUGUGGCUAUUUUGUUGUUUGUUUACUCAAAAGCAAUUUGUUUAUUUCUGCCAUAUCUUACUGUAUAUCGUUAUUACUCAAUGGCAGCUAUGUAUUAUUAUUAUUAUUGAAUGGCAGGUGAUUAUAAAAACAGUCCUAUGGUGAUAUAAAUCAAGUGUCUGGCUCUGUGUGUUCACUUGCAUUAUCUGAAUUUCUAAACUUGCUUUUUUUAUGUGCUAUGUGCAAGCCUCUCCUCCUCUCAUAUCUGCACAAGGAGAUUUAUUUGGCAGUAAAAAUGUCCACUUAAAUUGAAAGUUCCAUUAUUUACUUUGUAGAAGUGAAUAUCCUUCAAUAAAUCAGUCUUCUUUCCCUUUUCUAUUAUUAUUUAUUGUUUACAUUGCAUUAACAGGCAUGUCUUCCUUCUGUAAAGCCUUCCAUCUUUAAUCCACCAAAGUGGGGAAAACAUGAUGUUGAAAUACAGUUGAAACAAAGCAGCAGUUGAACCUCUGCAUUUAUUCAGCACUGAUGGGUGAGGGGCUGCUCUGUGUAUUCAUUUAGCAUCAUAAACUGCUGUUGUUUGCUUGCUUUCUGAGGAGAGAAUUACUUCUUUAAAGGGAUACUUGAUUCCGAGGAGGACAACAGUCUGUGAAAGAGAUGCAUUGCUGCUGCUGCAGUUCAAGAUGGAAUGGCAGCAAGCAGACUGCUUGCUGCAGCAAAAGUCCUGCAUAAACCUCCAGGACAGCUCCAAAUACCAUGUGCAACAAUCCAGGUGCCCAUCUCUAACCCUCGACACCUAUGUGUUUUAAAAGCAUGACUCAAGUGUCUUCUAAGAGGAGGAUUUAGGCCCUUGGUCACAGCUGUAUACCCUGAACUUGGCAGUGCUCUGGCUUGGCGUAGGAAUGAGGAAUUACAUGCACUCCAUAAGGAACGUUUCUUCAGGUUAAGCAUUAUAAUCUCUCAUCAUUGGUGUAUGUGAUGUGAAGAGCCUCUUUCUCCACCAUUUCAGAUUCUCUUUGUUAGUGGGAUGUAUGAUACAUAGAUUUUGGGUGUUUAUUAAUUUCUACAUUGAAGAAGGUGAUUGCUUACAGAUGUUUGCUAUCUAAUUAAAGUGUAUUCUUAUUUAACUUUGUUGAUGUCGCAGGUGACUGUUCCAUGGUCUCUGGGAGUUGUUUUACCUCUUUGUCUAUGCUUGUACUGCUGAAAAUCCCACUCAGGCGGCCUGGUGAUUAAAGGAGCCCGACUAAAUGUCAUCUAAAGAAAAACAGAACAAUGCUGUACAAAUGUUUGCAAAACCUACUAAUCUGCUGGCAUGCUGUGGUGCGAUGCACACUAUGUCACGUGGCAAGAAUCAUCACUCUGCCUCCACAGCUUUCCCUUCUGUUGAAACUGCUUUCAACCCAGAUGUUAUUUCUGUCUUUAUUUUUGGCAACAGGGAGAACAAGUUUAAGUUCUGAAAGGCAGGCAAUAAGGGACACAGAACUGCCUGGUGAAGGGGUCAGAAAGGACAGGCUAGUUGAGAGCAGUCAGGACUGUUAAUGCAUUCCUCUUCCCUCUCCUCACAGGGCAGAUGAAGGCAAAAUCCUUCAUGGAGCCCAGAGAUCGCUUCCCCAUGCUUUCAUCUCAGCCCCCCUGUAAGCUUCAUGUCAAAGCCAGCCUCUUCCUGCUGGAGGACAACUGGAUGUGAUUCAUUUUAGAAGCUGUCAGUGCUUCUACUGUACCUGCUCUGUGGAGAUGCUGUUGAGUGACAUGAAACACUUUUUCCCUGAACAGGAUUAGUGAACCUUCUCCCCACAUUGCCCUGCUUCCCCUUCUGCCUCCAUCUCAUGCUACGUGGCCAAAGCUGUGCUGCUGGAUACCAAAAUAGCAUUGGAUCAUUUCUUCUGUAUUUACUUCUGACUGAGGCGCUCUGUUAUUUGAGGAAAAUUACACUUUUUGAAGAGAAAUUUGACC